rnacentral:rRNA from 1 species
GAAUCUUAGACAAUGGGCGCAAGCCUGAUCUAGCCAUGCCGCGUGAGUGACGAAGGCCUUAGGGUCGUAAAGCUCUUUCGCCAGAGAUGAUAAUGACAGUAUCUGGUAAAGAAACCCCGGCUAACUCCGUGCCAGCAGCCGCGGUAAUACGGAGGGGGUUAGCGUUGUUCGGAAUUACUGGGCGUAAAGCGCACGUAGGCGGAUUGGAAAGUAUGGGGUGAAAUCCCAGGGCUCAACCCUGGAACUGCCUUGUAAACUCCCAGUCUAGAGUUCGAGAGAGGUGAGUGGAAUUCCAAGUGUAGAGGUGAAAUUCGUAGAUAUUCGGAAGAACACCAGUGGCGAAGGCGACUCGCUGGACAAGUAUUGACGCUGAGGUGCGAAAGCGUGGGGAGCAAACAGG